rnacentral:rRNA from 1 species
AGUGAACGCUGGCGGCGUGCUUAACACAUGCAAGUCGCGCGGGAUUCUGCAGAGUAUCGCAGAGUUUAGCGGCAAACGGGUGAGUAACACGUAGGAAACCUCCCUCAGAAUGGGGAAUAUCUCCGAGAAAUCGGAGUCAAUACCGCAUAAGACCACAGCUUGGCAUCAAGCAGAGGUCAAAGCAGCAAUGUGUUUUGAGAUGGUCCUGCGUCCUAUCAGCUUGUUGGUGAGGAAACGGCUUACCAAGGCUAUGACGGGUAUCCGGCCUGAAAGGGUGAACGGACACACUGGAACUGAGACACGGUCCAGACUCCUACGGGAGGCAGCAGUGGGGAAUUUUGGACAAUGGGGGAAACCCUGAUCCAGCGACGCCGCGUGGAGGACGAAGGCUUUCGGGUUGUAAACUCCUUUUAGAGGGGAAGAAAUAAAUGACGGUACCCUCAGAAAAUGCCACGGCUAACUACGUGCCAGCAGCCGCGGUAAUACGUAGGUGGCGAGCGUUACUCGGAAUUACUAGGCGUAAAGCGUAUGCAGGCGGUCGUAUAAGUCUUUAGUAAAAUUUCCCGGCUCAACCGGGAAAAGCCUAAGGAUACUGUUCGGCUUGAGUGUGUGAGAGGGAGAUGGAAUUCCUGGUGUAGCGGUGAAAUGCGUAGAUAUCAGGAGGAACACCGAUGGCGAAAGCAAUCUCCUGGACCAAUACUGACGCUGAUAUACGAAAGCUAGGGUAGCAAACAGGAUUAGAUACCCUGGUAGUCCUAGCUGUAAACGAUGUUCACUAGAUGUGGGGGGUAUCGACCCCUUCCGCGUCAACGCUAACGCAUUAAGUGAACCGCCUGGGGAGUACGGCCGCAAGGUUGAAACUCAAAGGAAUUGACGGGGGCCCGCACAAGCGGUGGAGUAUGUGGUUUAAUUCGACGCAACACGAAAAACCUUACCUGGGCUUGAACUGCUGAUGGUAAAAACCGGAAACGGCAAUGACCCGCAAGGGAGUCAGUAGAGGUGCUGCAUGGCUGUCGUCAGCUCGUGUCGUGAGAUGUUGGGUUAAGUCCCGCAACGAGCGCAACCCUUAUCCCAUGUUACCGGUAGCAAUACGGGGUCUCUGAGGAAACUGCCAUUGAUAAAAUGGAGGAAGGUGGGGACGACGUCAAGUCAUCAUGGCCUUUAUGUCCAGGGCUACACACGUACUACAAUGGCCGGUACAGAGGGUAGCAAUAUCGUAAGGUGGAGCAAAUCCCUGAAAGCCGGCCCCAGUUCAGAUUGUGGGCUGCAAUUCGCCCACAUGAAGUAGGAAUCGCUAGUAAUCGCAGAUCAGCAGGCUGCGGUGAAUACGUUCCCGGGCCUUGUACACACCGCCCGUCACACCACGAAAGUCAGUCAUAACAGAAGUCGUUGGGCUAACCGCAAGGAGGCAGGCGCCUAAGUUAUGGUUGGUGAUUGGGGUG